rnacentral:rRNA from 1 species
GGAAGUCUGGUGCCAGCAGCCGCGGUAAUUCCAGCUCCAAUAGCGUAUAUUAAAGUUGUCGCAGUUAAAAAGCUCGUAGUUGAACCUCGGGAUCAAUGGAUCGGUCAUGCCAUCGGUAUGUACUGGUCUCAUUGGUUCUCACCUUCUAAGGAACCAUGAUGUCAUUCAGUUGAUGUUGUGGGGAAUUAGGACUGUUACCUUGAAAAAAUUAGAGUGUUUAAAGCAGGCUAACGCUUGAAUACAUUAGCAUGGAAUAAUGAAAUAGGACAUCGCAUUCUAUUUUGUUGGUUUCUAGGAUCGAUGUAAUGAUUAAUAGGGAUAGUUGGGGGGCAUUAGUAUUCAAUUGUCAGAGGUGAAAUUCUUGGAUUUAUUGAAGACUAACUACUGCGAAAGCAUUUGCCAGGGAUGUUUUCAUUAAUCAAGAACGAAAGUUAGGGGAUCGAAGACGAUCAGAUACCGUCGUAGCCUUAACCAUAAACUAUGCCGACUAGGGAUCGGAUGAUGUUGAUUUUUUAAUGACUCAUUCGGCGCCUUACGGGAAAC